rnacentral:sRNA from 1 species
UGAUUUCACCAAAACAGAGUGUCAUGUAGAUUGCAUUGCAUUUUAGGAUUGUAUAUAGAGUACUUGCAUUUAGGAUUUCUCAUUUGCAUAGGGGAUAAUGAUGAUUUCGAACCGUUAAGCAUGUUUUGAUUCAAUGAAGUAAGUUCAAUGCCCAGGUUGUUAGUUCUCUGUUGCAUAACCGAUUGUUUCUCUGAAGUAAGACUGCACCCUGCUUUGAAUUUACAACUUGACUAUACUUCUUUGAUUCAAAACUCGCUUAUCUGAUGCCAUUCCCUAUCUAUUAGAACCUGAACUGAAUUUGCAAUUAUCAUGUCUAUGCAUUGUUUGUGAACUCAUGGCUACCAUAUACAUACUU